AUUGAACGCUGGCGGCAUGCCUAACACAUGCAAGUCGAACGCGAAAGUCCUUCGGGGCGAGUAGAGUGGCGGACGGGUGAGUAAUACGUGGGAAUCUACCUGGUAGUGGGGGACAACCCGGGGAAACUCGGGCUAAUACCGCAUACGUCCUACGGGAGAAAGGGGGCCUCUGCUUGCAAGCUCUCGCUACCAGAUGAGCCCACGUCCGAUUAGCUAGUUGGUGGGGUAAAGGCCCACCAAGGCGACGAUCGGUAGCUGGUCUGAGAGGAUGACCAGCCACACUGGGACUGAGACACGGCCCAGACUCCUACGGGAGGCAGCAGUGGGGAAUAUUGGACAAUGGGCGAAAGCCUGAUCCAGCAAUGCCGCGUGUGUGAAGAAGGCCUGCGGGUUGUAAAGCACUUUCAGUGGGGAAGAAAAGCCUGGGG
rnacentral:rRNA from 1 species